rnacentral:rRNA from 1 species
CCUACGGGGGGCAGCAGUGGGGAAUAUUGGACAAUGGGGGCAACCCUGAUCCAGCCAUACCGCGUGUGUGAAGAAGGCCCUCGGGUUGUAAAGCACUUUCAGUGAGGAAGAACGCCUGGUGGUUAAUACCCAUCAGGAAAGACAUCACUCACAGAAGAAGCACCGGCUAACUCCGUGCCAGCAGCCGCGGUAAUACGGAGGGUGCGAGCGUUAAUCGGAAUUACUGGGCGUAAAGCGCGCGUAGGUGGCUUGAUAAGCCGGUUGUGAAAGCCCCGGGCUCAACCUGGGAACGGCAUCCGGAACUGUCAAGCUAGAGUGCAGGAGAGGAAGGUAGAAUUCCCGGUGUAGCGGUGAAAUGCGUAGAGAUCGGGAGGAAUACCAGUGGCGAAGGCGGCCUUCUGGACUGACACUGACACUGAGGUGCGAAAGCGUGGGUAGCAAACAGGAUUAGAUACCCGAGUAGUC